rnacentral:rRNA from 1 species
GUGAGUAACGCGUGAGAAUCUGCCUCUAGGUCGGGGACAACACUUGGAAACGAUUGCUAAUACCCGAUGUGCAGCAAUGUGAAAGAUUUAUUGCCUAGAGAUGAGCUCGCGUCUGAUUAGCUAGUAGGUGUGGUAAUGGCGCACCUAGGCGACCAUCAGUAACUGGUCUGAGAGGAUGACCAGUCACACUGGGACUGAG